ACAAGAAAAUAUAAUUUUUUCAUACAAAAUUUAAAUAACAACCCAUUAAAUACUUUUCUUUAUCAAAUUCUAAAUCUUCAUUUCUUUUUCUGAAGAGGGAAAUAAUUUUACAUCUCUGAUAAGAACUAAUGACAAAUGUGGUCGACUUGAAUAAGAUCAAGAGAAUUAAAAUUUAAGUGUCCCCCNNNNNNNNNNNNNNNNNUUUUUUUAACUAUUUGUUUUUUUUUUCCUUCCCCUUAACAUCAUCAAGUCUUAUCUUAUUCAGCUUACCAAAUAAGCCAGAAGUCUAAAGGAAUUUGAAAAGGGCUUUGCAAAUAUUAAUUAAUUUCAUUUCUGGGUUAUGUUUCAAGAAAUCCAGUCAUUUUGAGAAUUGAAUUCCUGACUUCACUCAAAUUUCUGCCCUUAAGAGUCCUUCCAUUUCCGGUGCAGACGGAGAACGCCAUCAUUUUCUCGGCGACCCGCUGGCUAACGAUAACGUGGGGUGGUACCAUUUCUCCACCGUCGUUUUCGUCAUCGAAAAUUUCCGAAUCUACAUACUGAACCGUCCAUAAACUUCCAGUUAUGUUUGCUGGGAUAUUUACCGGAACUGAAUUCUUCUUGGUCUUGAAUUUCUUCCUCUUGGUUUUGAUAUUUCUUCACGGAAAAUUGUACUCCUCGUUGCCAUCUUCAUCUCCGGCAUAGUCUUGAAAAAUAACUUCAGAUUCUUGAAAUACUUCUGCCAUGGAAAAUGAGAGAAAAGUACGAAUUAAAAUGGUAUUUAGGAAUUGGUAAAGGGUGGGAAAUGCAAGGAAAUUUAUAGAGGGCGAAAAUGAUUGAUUAGAGGAAGAGAGUUUGAUUGGGGGUGGUGAAGUGGCGUCAUUGUAAAGGGCGUUGAGUGCGGACCCAACUUUCUGCGUCU
rnacentral:lncRNA from 1 species